UCCCUCCCUACAAGGCAAAAGCUGCAUGGAGAAAGAAUGGGCUCUCUACCUCUGUUUAGGGAUCAGGAGCUAGAGGGCGCCAUUCCUGCCGGGCAUGAGUGCCAGGAGUAGGCAUUCCAGGGGGAUUGGCAGCCAUAGUCACUGGUGAGCACACUAGAGGCCCGAGGGGGUGAAGCAGCUGGCACUAAAGAAAUCCAUGAUGUCACAUUGGCACUGCUGACAGAUGUACUGCACCCAUCCAUUGUAGACGAGCCCAUUCAUAUGCUAGAUGAGCCCAUUCAAGCCUGGUCCUUCACAACAGCAUGGAGAUAGGAGUGAUCUAUGGCCUGUCUUGUGGUAAGCGGUGACUGAAGGCAGAUUGCCAAAGCCUGCCCAGAAAAUCGAAGACCUCAGGGCUGACAAGCUGCUGGUUUGCAUUGUGGUCAAACUGUUCCCAUUGCUUACAGGAGCAUCUGCCCAGGAUAUCAUUGAAAGGUGGAUGGAUAUAUCUUUGGAAGCUUUUCCUAUCUUUAAGAUAUACUGCUUUAGAAGAUUUGUCUUUGACAAAUCAUGAUUCUGAUGGCUCACAGAAGACUUAGUAAAAGUGUAAACUGAUGUAUGCAACAUUUUUUUCAAAACCAGCAAGAAGUAAGGGAAUAUACCAGUGACUGCCUCAUCAAGGAAAUAGGUAAACAACACCCAGCAGAACAGAAAAUGAGGGAUGGUGGACAUGAAGGAAGAAAUUCAGCCACACAGGGGAAGCUUGAUUACCAAAACAACCAUGUUUGAGGCAAUGCUUGGCUCUGGAGCUCCAAUGUGGCCCUAACAACACAGAAGUAGAACCAUGAAGAUACACAAGAUUAGGGCUUUUCUUGGGCUUCAGAUCAUCAUCCAGAAAGUCUUUUUUUGGAGAUCAAAGGUAUUUAUCACCAAGUAAACUUUUAAGGACCUGGCUCCAAACAUCAUGAGGGGGAUGGACACAAGACUACACCAUCACAGAAAUGGCAACCAAGUGAUGUCACAGAUCCAAGUGGUUACAUGUGGAAUACGUAGCAGAGAAGACCCCUCAGGGACUAAUAUGGGAAUCCAAUGGUCUUGCUCUGAUUUCUCCAAAUCCACAAUUUGUGUUGUGCCAGACCAUGACUAUUUAUCUCUGUGAUGAAUACUUAAUGCAAAUGGCAAGCCAUCCUGAGACAGGCUAGCAUCCAUCCGUACCCACCGCGAAGGCCAGGGAGCAGUGUGUGAAGCACUGAUGUCAAAGGCCAUUAACACAAAUGAAAAUUAACAUUUUUCAUCAAGGUCUAACAGUGUGCCACCAAACAGGCCAACCACUGUGCCACUUGUUUAUAGAAACACAUUGCUAAUCAGUCAGUAAAAUCUGUAAUAUCUGUGCUUCUGCAUACUUGCUUUUCAGUCUUUUGAG
rnacentral:lncRNA from 1 species